CGGCGAUGUCCGAAUGGGGAAACCCAGUGCAAUUCGUUGCACUAUCGUUAACUGAAUACAUAGGUUAACGAGGCGAACCGGGGGAACUGAAACAUCUAAGUACCCCGAGGAAAAGAAAUCAACCGAGAUUCCCCCAGUAGCGGCGAGCGAACGGGGAGCAGCCCAGAGUCUGAAUCAGCUUGUGUGUUAGUGGAACGGUCUGGAAAGUCCGACGGUACAGGGUGAUAGUCCCGUACACCAAAAUGCACAGGCUGUGAACUCGAAGAGUAGGGCGGGACACGUGGUAUCCUGUCUGAAUAUGGGGGGACCAUCCUCCAAGGCUAAAUACUCCUGACUGACCGAUAGUGAACCAGUACCGUGAGGGAAAGGCGAAAAGAACCCCGGCGAGGGGAGUGAAAAAGAACCUGAAACCGUGUACGUACAAGCAGUGGGAGCACCUUCGGGUGUGACUGCGUACCUUUUGUAUAAUGGGUCAGCGACUUAUAUUCUGUAGCAAGGUUAACCGUAUAGGGGAGCCGCAGGGAAACCGAGUCUUAACUGGGCGUUAAGUUGCAGGGUAUAGACCCGAAACCCGGUGAUCUAGCCAUGGGCAGGUUGAAGGUUGGGUAACACUAACUGGAGGACCGAACCGACUAAUGUUGAAAAAUUAGCGGAUGACUUGUGGCUGGGGGUGAAAGGCCAAUCAAACCGGGAGAUAGCUGGUUCUCCCCGAAAGCUAUUUAGGUAGCGCCUCGUGAACUCAUCUUCGGGGGUAGAGCACUGUUUCGGCUAGGGGGUCAUCCCGACUUACCAACCCGAUGCAAACUACGAAUACCGAAGAAUGUUAUCACGGGAGACACACGGCGGGUGCUAACGUCCGUCGUGAAGAGGGAAACAACCCAGACCGCCAGCUAAGGUCCCAAAGUCAUGGUUAAGUGGGAAACGAUGUGGGAAGGCACAGACAGCCAGGAUGUUGGCUUAGAAGCAGCCAUCAUUUAAAGAAAGCGUAAUAGCUCACUGGUCGAGUCGGCCUGCGCGGAAGAUGUAACGGGGCUAAACCAUGCACCGAAGCUGCGGCAGCGACACUAUGUGUUGUUGGGUAGGGGAGCGUUCUGUAAGCCUGCGAAGGUGACCUGUGAGGGUUGCUGGAGGUAUCAGAAGUGCGAAUGCUGACAUAAGUAACGAUAAAGCGGGUGAAAAGCCCGCUCGCCGGAAGACCAAGGGUUCCUGUCCAACGUUAAUCGGGGCAGGGUGAGUCGACCCCUAAGGCGAGGCCGAAAGGCGUAGUCGAUGGGAAACAGGUUAAUAUUCCUGUACUUGGUGUUACUGCGAAGGGGGGACGGAGAAGGCUAUGUUAGCCGGGCGACGGUUGUCCCGGUUUAAGCAUGUAGGCUGGUUAUCCAGGCAAAUCCGGAUAAUCAAGGCUGAGGUGUGAUGACGAGGCACUACGGUGCUGAAGUAACAAAUGCCCUGCUUCCAGGAAAAGCCUCUAAGCAUCAGGUAACAUCAAAUCGUACCCCAAACCGACACAGGUGGUCAGGUAGAGAAUACCAAGGCGCUUGAGAGAACUCGGGUGAAGGAACUAGGCAAAAUGGUGCCGUAACUUCGGGAGAAGGCACGCUGGUGUGUAGGUGAAGUCCCUGCGGAUGGAGCUGAGACCAGUCGAAGAUACCAGCUGGCUGCAACUGUUUAUUAAAAACACAGCACUGUGCAAACACGAAAGUGGACGUAUACGGUGUGACGCCUGCCCGGUGCCGGAAGGUUAAUUGAUGGGGUUAUCCGUAAGGAGAAGCUCUUGAUCGAAGCCCCGGUAAACGGCGGCCGUAACUAUAACGGUCCUAAGGUAGCGAAAUUCCUUGUCGGGUAAGUUCCGACCUGCACGAAUGGCGUAAUGAUGGCCAGGCUGUCUCCACCCGAGACUCAGUGAAAUUGAACUCGCUGUGAAGAUGCAGUGUACCCGCGGCAAGACGGAAAGACCCCGUGAACCUUUACUAUAGCUUGACACUGAACAUUGAGCCUUGAUGUGUAGGAUAGGUGGGAGGCUUUGAAGCGUGGACGCCAGUCUGCGUGGAGCCAACCUUGAAAUACCACCCUUUAAUGUUUGAUGUUCUAACGUUGGCCCCUGACCGGGGUUGCGGACAGUGUCUGGUGGGUAGUUUGACUGGGGCGGUCUCCUCCCAAAGCGUAACGGAGGAGCACGAAGGUUAGCUAAUCCUGGUCGGACAUCAGGAGGUUAGUGCAAUGGCAUAAGCUAGCUUGACUGCGAGCGUGACGGCGCGAGCAGGUGCGAAAGCAGGUCAUAGUGAUCCGGUGGUUCUGAAUGGAAGGGCCAUCGCUCAACGGAUAAAAGGUACUCCGGGGAUAACAGGCUGAUACCGCCCAAGAGUUCAUAUCGACGGCGGUGUUUGGCACCUCGAUGUCGGCUCAUCACAUCCUGGGGCUGAAGUAGGUCCCAAGGGUAUGGCUGUUCGCCAUUUAAAGUGGUACGCGAGCUGGGUUUAGAACGUCGUGAGACAGUUCGGUCCCUAUCUGCCGUGGGCGCUGGAGAAUUGAGGGGGGCUGCUCCUAGUACGAGAGGACCGGAGUGGACGCAUCACUGGUGUUCGGGUUGUCAUGCCAAUGGCACUGCCCGGUAGCUAAAUGCGGAAGAGAUAAGUGCUGAAAGCAUCUAAGCACGAAACUUGCCCCGAGAUGAGUUCU
rnacentral:rRNA from 1 species